rnacentral:rRNA from 1 species
AUGCUGGUUCCGGCGCCUUAUGAGGUGCCGGAGAAGAAGGCCAAGAAGAAGGCCGCGGGGACCAGGAAGGGUUUCCGGCGCAAGGUUAUAUCGGACUCAUCGUCCGAAAACACCGAGGCGCACUCCUCCCACGAAAACGAGGAGGAGGAAGAGGAAAUUUAUCCCCCCCCCCCGGCCGGGGAGGACAGGAAAAGGAAGGCCGCCCCAUCAGGGGAGGCCGAAGGGUCCAAGAAGGGAAGGACCCUCCUCCCGGACUGCUCCACGACGGUCGCUUUCAGCGACGAGGGGUGGUUACCCAAGGACAAGCCCCUGGCGAAGUCGUGA